rnacentral:rRNA from 1 species
UACGUAGGUGGCAAGCGUUGUCCGGAAUUAUUGGGCGUAAAGCGCGCGCAGGCGGUCCUUUAAGUCUGAUGUGAAAGCCCACGGCUCAACCGUGGAGGGUCAUUGGAAACUGGGGGACUUGAGUACAGAAGAGAAGAGUGGAAUUCCCGGUGUAGUGGUGAAAUGCGUAGAGAUCGGGAGGAACACCAGUGGCGAAGGCGGCCCCCUGGGCAGUAACUGACACUGAGGCGCGAAAGCGUGGGGAGCAAACAGG